AAGUCGUAACAAGGUCUCCGUUGGUGAACCAGCGGAGGGAUCAUUACAGAGUUGAAAAACUCCAACCCUUGUGUAUCUUACCUUCGUCGUUGCUUCGGCGGCAAAGAUGCCCCCCUCCGCGGGGGCUACGGCGCCGCCGGAGGUUCACAAACUCUUGAUUUUUAGUGUAUCUCUGAGUUUAAAAAAUAAUAAUCAAAACUUUCAACAACGGAUCUCUUGGUUCUG
rnacentral:misc_RNA from 1 species